UACGUAGGGUGCAAGCGUCGUCCGGAAUUAUUGGGCGUAAAGAGCUCGUAGGCGGUUUGUUGCGUCGGCUGUGAAAUCCCGAGGCUCAACCUCGGGUCUGCAGUCGAUACGAGCAAACUAGAGUGUUGCAGGGGAGACUGGAACUCCUGGUGUAGCGGUGAAAUGCGCAGAUAUCAGGAGGAACACCGGUGGCGAAGGCGGGUCUCUGGGCAACAACUGACGCUGAGGAGCGAAAGCGUGGGGAGCGAACAGG
rnacentral:rRNA from 1 species